rnacentral:rRNA from 1 species
GACAGAGGUGCCGAGCGUUAGGCGGAAUCACUGGGCUUAAAGCGUGUGUAGGCGGGCCGUUAAGUGCCUUGUGAAAUCCCACAGCUCACCUGUGGAACUGCUUGGCAUACUGGCGAUCUUGAGCCACUUAGGGGCAACCGGAACAAACGGUGGAGCGGUGAAAUGCGUAGAUAUCGUUUGGAACGCCAAUGGUGAAAACAGGUUGCUGGGAGUGCGCUGACGCUGAGACACGAAAGCCAGGGGAGCAAACGGG